rnacentral:rRNA from 1 species
AUUGAACGCUGGCGGCAUGCCUUACACAUGCAAGUCGAACGGUAACGGGUCCUUCGGGAUGCUGACGAGUGGCGAACGGGUGAGUAAUAUAUCGGAACGUGCCCAGUAUUGGGGGAUAACUGCUCGUAAGAGCAGCUAAUACCGCAUACGAUCAGAGGGUGAAAGGGGGGGAUCGCAAGACAUCUCGCUUUUGGAGCGGCCGAUAUCAGGUUAGCUAGUUGGUUGGGUAAAGGCCUACCAAGGCAACGAUCUGUAGUUGGUCUGAGAGGACGACCAGCCACAAUGGGACUGGGAAACGGGCCCGGCCCCCAAGGGAAGGAAGAGUGGGGAAUUUUGGCCAAUGGGGGGAAGCCUGGUCGAGGAAUGGCGCGUGCAGGGAUGAGGCCUUCGGGUUGUAAACUGCUUUUGUCAGGGAAAAAAUCAUUUGGGCUGAAACCACGCGAGGAUGACGGUACCUGAAUCAUAAGCACCGGCUAACUACGUG